rfam:Medicago truncatula strain A17 chromosome 4, whole genome shotgun sequence.
AAACAACCCUCUAUGUAUUGGAUCUUUGGCAGUUUUGGCCCCCAAUGCCACUUUAGACUUAGUCUUCGCUGACUUGGCACCCACAUCCCUUAAGUGAGGUGCCACAUGUCGACCAUUGUGGGUGCCACAUCAGCAAAGACUAAGUCAAAAGUGGUCUUGGGGGCCAAAGCUGUCAAAGAUCCAAUACAUAAGGGGGCUGUUU